rnacentral:rRNA from 1 species
CAGUCGCCGCGGUAAUACGAAGGGGGCUAGCGUUGUUCGGAAUUACUGGGCGUAAAGCGCGCGCAGGUGGUUUAAUAAGUCUGAUGUGAAAGCCCACAGCUCAACCGUGGAGGGUCAUUGGAAACUGUUAAACUUGAGUGCAGGAGAGAAAAGUGGAAUUCCUAGUGUAGCGGUGAAAUGCGUAGAGAUUAGGAGGAACACCAGUGGCGAAGGCGGCUUUUUGGCCUGUAACUGACACUGAGGCGCGAAAGCGUGGGGAGCAAACAGGAUUAGAUACCCCAGUAGUCCCUGUCUCUUAUAC